rnacentral:piRNA from 2 species
UAAGCUAUGGAAGAUUUCUCGCUGAU